UAGUUAUCAUUCAGCUAGUGUUAGAAACAUAAAUUGUGACUAAGGUUUGGUGGAAGAUUUUAAUUCAAAACUUAUGGAAACAAGACAUUUGUACUCAGUACCAGAGCUGGUUUCAGCCGGGUUGGUAACGAAAGGGUUAAUUCACAUUUUACCCAG